UAAAGGUCCACUCUAAUGUCAUGUUAUGGACCAAAUCAAUUAGCAUGGCCUCGCUUGUGGACUAUAUAAAAUUGUUUUAUUAUCCUAGCUUUUGAAGUAAUUUGCAUUUCACUAAGCUCGAGAAACGUAAAACAACAUUU
rfam:Stomoxys calcitrans breed 8C7A2A5H3J4 unplaced genomic scaffold Scaffold0, whole genome shotgun sequence.